UACGUAGGGCGCAAGCGUUGUCCGGAAUUAUUGGGCGUAAAGAGCUCGUAGGUGGCUUGUCGCGUCGGGUGUGAAAGCUUGGGGCUUAACUCCAGGUCUGCAUUCGAUACGGGCUGGCUAGAGGUAGGUAGGGGAGAACGGAAUUCCUGGUGUAGCGGUGAAAUGCGCAGAUAUCAGGAGGAACACCAAUGGCGAAGGCAGAUCUCUGGGCCGUAACUGACGCUGAGGAACGAAAGCAUGGGGAGCGAACAGG
rnacentral:rRNA from 1 species